UCCUACGGGGGGCAGCAGUGGGGAAUAUUGGACAAUGGGCGAAAGCCUGAUCCAGUGAUACCGCGUGGAGGAUGAAGGUCUAAGGAUUGUAAACUUCUUUUGGCGGGGACGAUAACGACGGUACCCGCAGAAUAAGCACCGGCUAACUUCGUGCCAGCAGCCGCGGUAAUACGAAGGGUGCGAGUGUUAUUCGGAAUUACUGGGCGUAAAGUAGGCGUAGGCGGAUUGAUAAGUUGGUGGUGAAAUCCCAGGGCUCAACCUUGGAACUGCCAUCAAAACUGUCUUUCUAGAGUAUGGCGGGGAUUGGGAGAAUUUCCUGUGGAGGGGUAAAAUUCGUAGAGAUAGGAAGGAAGACCGGAGGCGAAAGCGCCUGAUUACACCAUUACUGACGCUGAGGCCUGAAAGCGUGGGGAGCAAACAGGAUUAGAUACCCCGGUAGC
rnacentral:rRNA from 1 species